rnacentral:rRNA from 1 species
AACGAACGCUGGCGGCAGGCCUAACACAUGCAAGUCGAGCGGACAUCUUCGGAUGUUCGCGGCGGACGGGUGAGUAACGCGUGGGAACGUGCCCUUUGCUUCGGAAUAGCCUCGGGAAACUGGGAGUAAUACCGGAUGUACCCUUUGGGGGAAAGAUUUAUCGGCAAAGGGUCGGCCCGCGUUGGAUUAGGUAGUUGGUGGGGUAAUGGCCUACCAAGCCGACGAUCCAUAGCUGGUUUGAGAGGAUGAUCAGCCACACUGGGACUGAGACACGGCCCAGACUCCUACGGGAGGCAGCAGUGGGGAAUCUUAGACAAUGGGGGAAACCCUGAUCUAGCCAUGCCGCGUGAGCGAUGAAGGCCUUAGGGUUGUAAAGCUCUUUCACCGGGGAAGAUAAUGACGGUACCCGGAGAAGAAGCCCCGGCUAACUCCGUG